GGACGAUUGUGCUUGUCUUUGCACUGGGUCAUGUUGGCUUUGCAACUGCUGCACGGACUGUGAUUGUGCUUGUCUUUGCACUGGGUCAUGUUGGCUUUGCAACUGCUGAUGACCCCUGUAAGCAGUACACAAACAUCUCUGACCCGUGGAGGAACCGUGGCUUCUUGUUGACUUCCUCUCAACUCCAGCUGAAGGACGACUCAGACCUGCAGGAAGGCUGGUACCGCUUCGUUGGUGUAGGGGGUGACAUCCUGGAUUUCGCCAGCAUUCCAAUCCCAUCUUUGGCAGAGGAGCGUCUGGGAUACUGUUCCCUCAGAUCAUACAGCCCUACGGUCACAAACAUAAAUCUGUGUGCAGGAGCGAUCAGUAAUGGAAGUGUGGAUGUUAAAGUCUGUUCAUCUAGAUACUACGUGCACAAGCUCAGACCCACCGCCAGAAAUCAGAUUUAUGCCACAAGCCAUCAGAGAUGUACUGAGUCCUCUUGUGGCGAGUUUGCCCAAUGUGGUACAUUGGGGGCCUGUGUGUGCAAGACUGGAUGUAUAAGAUGCCCAAAGGAUUUCUACCGAC